rnacentral:lncRNA from 1 species
GGCCGAAGAAGCCCUGGAGGGGGAGAGGGGAGCCGCUCUCGACUGGGCUUGCGGCGUGGGAGGGACAGUGAGGGACACUUAGGGACUGUGUGGGGCAGUGAAGGAUAGUGUGGGAUGAUGAGGGACCGUGUGGACCGGUGAGCGACUGUGUGGGACAGUGCGGGACGAUGAGAGACGGUGUGGGACGGUGAGGGACAGUGCGGGACGAUGAGGGACAGUGAGGGACUGUGUAGGACAGUGAGGGACAGUGUGGGACGGUGAGGGACUGUGGGACAGUGAGGGACUUUGGGACUGUGAGGGACUCGGACAGUGAAGGAUGGCAAGGGACAGUGUGGGACAGUAUGGGACAGUGGACAGUGAGGCACUGUGAGGGGCGGUGAGGGACAAUGAAGGAUGUCAAGGGACAGUGUGGGACAGUGGACGGUGAGGUACUGUGAGGGGCGGUGAGGGACAGUGUGGGACUGUGAGGGAUGGCGAGGGACAGAGUAGGACAGCAAGGGAGGAUGAGGGGACAGAGUGGGCCGGCGUGGGGCGGUGAGGCUACGCGGGGGGAACCCAGGGCUCCUCUGACUGCGUUGGAAUAUGGAGGAAAGGUCCUGCUCGAGGUUGAGCCCUUCAGGGUCGCUGUGGGUUUCCAGGAGGAGCUCCCUCACUACUGACUUAGGGGGCCCUCGGCUUCCCAGGGUAAGAAGAAGCUGUCUUUGGAGUGAGAACAAGGGUGAGGUUCUGGCUCAGAAACCUUAGAAUCACAGACACUGUUUUCCUGAAAACAUUGCUUCUUUCUCUCAUCUCAAAGAAAUGCCACAAGUCGUGUGAGCAUUUGCUGACAUCACUGAAUUGGGGAAGGUGUUGUUGAAAAGGUAGAACUUGAGCUCUGUUUUUAAAUAGAGAGGGGCAGUUGGCGGUGACACACUCCCCAUCUAUGAGUCAUUUGUUCUGGGCCGCAAGGAAGAAUUUGAAAACUCAGAACAGAAGGGGAAAGAAUGGCAGGUUUCCCCACUGCGAGCCCUUCGAGAACAAUGUCAUGUUGAUCGAUGGCAGUGACUCACACCAGAUCUUUCCAUGCCUCCUCUGCAAGGACUCAAGAGAGUCGAGAGCAAAACCGUGCCAUAGUUCCAUAAGGAGGGCAAAGAGCUUUAUCCACGCUGAGGAACAGGCGGAUCAUGCGGCUACAGCACUGGUCUUUACCUUUUAACUGCUUGAUUCGAAACAUUCCAGCCAGGAACAGUGGCUCACACCUGUAAUCCCAGCACUUUGUGGGGCCAAGGCAGGUGGAUUGCUCGAGCUCAGGAGUUCGAAACCAGCCUGGGCAACCUGGCAAAACCUCAUCUCUACAAAAAAAUACAAAAAUUAGCCAGGCCUGGUGUGUGUGCCUGUGGUUCCAGCCACUCGGCAGGCUGCGGCCAGAGGAUCACUUGAGCCCAGGAAGUGGAGGCUGCAGUGAGCUGAGAUCGUGCCGCCACACUCCAGCCUGGGUGACAGAGCCAGACAUUGUCUCUAAAAAAAAAAAAAAAAGAAAAGAAAAGAAAGAAAAAAGAGAAAUAGUCCAAGACUAGGGAGAAAACCUUCUUUGGGGUCAGUGUGAACCAUUCUUUCAUUUGUUCAGCAAAUGCUUACUGAGGAGCUACUGUGUCCCUGAAAUUGCCUCCACCUCCAAGAAGACAGUGGUGAGCAAGUCAGACAAUACCUCUAAUCUCAUGGUAUUUAUAAGUAAAUGGGCCGUUAAAAUUACCAGAUCAGAAGUGCUGUGUUCAGCAAAUAGAGGCUCAUGGGAAACUCCUAAGAAGGGCUUCUGAGCUGGACUUGGGGGUCAGGAAAGGCAGAAUGAGGGGGCUGACUCAUCCAGACUGGGGCGGGGUUGCCGGGGGUGCCUCCCACUUACUAUCUGUCUCCUUCUAGACUGACUUCUCUGUCAUCAUGAAUACACCCCUUUAAGACAUACAUUUAAGAGAAAAUAAGAGGAUGCCUUAUUUAUUUAAAGGUUUGUUACAGUUUUACUAACAACCACAUACCUAAAGGAAAGUCGCAAGUAGAGCUCAAAAACUUUUUUCUCUGGGGCAGUGAAGAGUCAGUUGCCAGCCAGAAGGCCCACUGAGCCUGAGCACUUCAGGGUGUGCUUCCUACAGAUAAGGACAUCCUCCUGCAUAACAGGAAAGGGGUCCUGAUCCAGACCCCAAGAGAGGGUUCUUGGAUCUCGCACAAGAAAGAAUUCCGGGUGAG